UUGGGACAAAAUUAUCACUUCAUAAAUAUGUAAUCAAGUCAACUAUGAGGCACUGUGUGGGUGAAGCAAUACCUUAUCACAGUUCACCAGCAUACCUCAUUUGUUACCACAGUUUGUUAAAGUACUUUAUUUGUUACUUAAUACUUGAUAUAUCUUGUGAUUGUCUUGUUUAGGGAUGCUGCUCCCACCCUAAAUCAAACAGGAUAUAGCCAUGCAUGCAUACUUAGUGUGGACGAAUGAAAAAAUAAACUUCUUGUAGGAAUACAUACACAUAUUGUAAAGCACAGAUAUCGGCUUCGUAUUUUCUAUACGCUGCGGGUAUUGACAAAUGAACAUUGGUACAUUCUGCAUGUAUACCAAUUCUCUGACUAUGUAGUUUUUUAGUGGACCCCUUCCAAUAUGCCAUUUUGCAUAUAUAUACCCUAGAAAUAAAUCAGCAUAUAGGAAGUAUCAUUGCUGUCGUGCAUGUGAGAUGUUUUAUACCAGGGCCUUUGAAGCUGACCAAUAGCUCAGUGUACAGGUGGAUGGCCAGGCCGGACUGUGGAUGUUAGGAUGGCCCUCAGAAGUUUGGGUUAGCAGUUGUGCUGCCUUUUUUCUUCAGCUUUCAUUUCCACUAGCUGCAAGCCAGUGGAGAGGACUGUAGGAAGUGGACAUCUUGUCUUGGUCUGGCCACGAGACUCACAGAUUACUGACGAUUUGGAGACUGCAGAGGCUUCUUGGUAUCAGACCAAUGAUUAACAUCAAC